AGGGAUCUAUUUUGGAGACAACAAACUUGACUAAGGAAUCUCAAGAAGAAAAUAUAAUUCUGCUGCCAGGCCCCAAUGGAGCAAAUAGAGCUCGGGACCCAGGGGCCUUUGGAAGGAACAGGAAUGCGGUUAGAGGAGUGCAGGAAGGGGCUCUUGGGAUGUGCCACCCAGGAAGACAGAGGGCCAGUGCUGCUACCUGCAGCCACACGACUCCACGACCAUGUCCUCAUACUGCUUAUACACCACGUUGUUGGCAGAGUCAAUGAAGAGGAUGCUGAUGGGACUCAGCCGCGUGGGCACACAGCAGGUGGGUGGUGUGGACUCGGGGUCCAUGGAGUUCAUCAGGGUCUGGAUGACUGCAUGAUUCGUGGGCUCCAGGUGGGAGCGCAAUGGGAACUCGCACAGCCCCUCGCAGUGGAAAGCCUCGUACUCAAGGGGUGCGAUGAUCCAGUCGUCCCAGCCCAUGUCCUUGAAGUUGACAUGCAGUGCCUUCCGACUGCAGCGAGCCUUAAGGUUCUUGCUGGGUCGCUUGCCCUGGCGAGUGGCCAGUGGGGCCCGCCGUUUUCGCCGCUGGCUGAACAGGUACUCAUACACGGUCUUAUCGUCCUGGCCAGAGCGGGCCUUAAUCUCAUUAAAGAACAGGUCCCGUUUCUUGGUGCGGCCAAACACCAGGAACAGGGCUUUCUCGUGGACCUGCCGGGCGGCGCGGUCGAAGCCCAGGCCACGGAGGUCCACGGCCCUGCCCCGUUCCCAGGCCUCCAGCUCCAGGCACAGCUGGGCCGAGUUCUUAAAGUUUCGGAAGAGCUUCCAGAUGUCGAACACCUCCCAGCCAGAUCCGUCCAGGCCUGGCACGGAGCGCACAUCCAGCAAGGCGGCCGGCUGCCGGCCGCUGGGGCAGCUGGACAGCUUCAGCUGGGCAGCCCGCCCGCCUCCGG